rnacentral:rRNA from 1 species
GGUAGUCCACGCCGUAAACGAUGAUAACUAGCUGCUAGGGCCCACAGGGCUUUGGUGGCGCAGCUAACGCAUUAAGUUAUCCGCCUGGGGAGUACGGUCGCAAGAUUAAAACUCAAAGGAAUUGACGGGGCCCCGCACAAGCGGCGGAGCAUGCGGAUUAAUUCGAUGCAACGCGUAGAACCUUACCUGGGUUUGACAUGGAUCGGGAGUGCUCAGAGAUGGGUGUGCCUCUUUUGGGGUCGGUUCACAGGUGGUGCAUGGCUGUCGUCA